CAGGGGUGAGGUGGUUCUCGGCUGUGUGGAGAGCUUGGAGCUCCAGUUGGGGCCCACUUUUCUGCUCUGGCGCUCUCGGACGUUUCAAACUUGGGACUUCUUUGUGGUCCUCCGCGUCGGUCAGACUCGGGUCCAGGGACCACCUGCUUUAAGGCUCGUCUGCACACUUUCUGCAGAUCCUCAGCCCCUCUUCCCCUUCUCAGAGGUGGGUGGGUGGGACUGAAAGUGCCAAGCUUCUAAUCUCUUGGUCUUUCUGGUGACCAGCCUUAUUCUGAGUCUAUCUAAGGGCACCACCCUAAGUUACCUCAUUAGGAUAAGAGCAAGGAUAAGGAUAAGAUAAGGAUGUGACUGACAAACCACACUCCUAUCACUAUGAAAUCCCAAGAGUUUGAGGAGCUUUGUGCCAGGAACCAGGGACAAAGACCACAUAUAUCUAUUAUACCACCCUCACUUAACAUUAGCAAAUCCAUCAGGGCAUGCCCAGGCAUGAGUUGGCUGGAGCUUGGUUUAGCAGAGAUAAAAGUUUACAGUCAUACUCCUUCAGGAAAGAGUCUCACCCAGUGACCAGUUCCAAGGUCCAGCCUGACUCUUAGGCAAGAAUGAAGCAUAUUUCAUUUGAGCCCAUAGAUAUUUGAAAACUUUGAAACUCAGAAGAAAUCUCCCUUUCAUGGAACAUGAGGUGAGAAAGAGACUAUAUUUCACCACUUAAAAUAGCAUGCCUGUACUUCUCUGGUGGUGCAGUGGUUAAGGAUUCACCUGCCAAUGCAGGGGACACAGGUUUGAGCCCUGGUCUGAGAAGAUCCCACAUGCCAUGGAGCAAUUAAGCCAUGUAGAUCUGGACUAUGUAUCUUUGGUGAACUUUAUGUAACUUGUCACCGUGUCAUUUUGAUGAAUGAUCCUUUGUCUUGAAAAUGUGUAUAACUGUAUCACUGACCUCUAACAAGCAGAACAGUCCUCAGAAUUUUCUGAAAGACUGUCUCCCGGGUUAUAAUCCUUAUGUUGGCCUGAAUAAAAUUCUCUUUUUCUUCUUUA